GACGAACGCUGGCGGCGUGCUUAACACAUGCAAGUCGAACGGAAAGGCCCUGCUUUUGUGGGGUGCUCGAGUGGCGAACGGGUGAGUAACACGUGAGUAACCUGCCCUUGACUUUGGGAUAACUUCAGGAAACUGGGGCUAAUACCGGAUAGGAGCUCCUGCUGCAUGGUGGGGGUUGGAAAGUUUCGGCGGUUGGGGAUGGACUCGCGGCUUAUCAGCUUGUUGGUGGGGUAGUGGCUUACCAAGGCUUUGACGGGUAGCCGGCCUGAGAGGGUGACCGGCCACAUUGGGACUGAGGUACGGCCCAGACUCCUACGGGAGGCAACAGUGGGGAAUAUUGCACAAUGGGCGGAAGCCUGAUGCAGCAACGCCGCGUGCGGGAUGACGGCCUUCGGGUUGUAAACCGCUUUCGCCUGUGACGAAGCGUGAGUGACGGUAAUGGGUAAAGAAGCACCGGCUAACUACGUG
rnacentral:rRNA from 1 species